GGGUAUGCUACAGGUUCAGUAUCGAGGUAGGUGCAGUUUCGAGAAGUAGCUUGCUACUUUGCCGGCGAGCGGCGGACGGGUGAGUAAUGUCUGGGAAACUGCCUGAUGGAGGGGGAUAACUACUGGAAACGGUAGCUAAUACCGCAUAACGUCGCAAGACCAAAGAGGGGGACCUUCGGGCCUCUUGCCAUCAGAUGUGCCCAGAUGGGAUUAGCUAGUAGGUGGGGUAACGGCUCACCUAGGCGACGAUCCCUAGCUGGUCUGAGAGGAUGACCAGCCACACUGGAACUGAGACACGGUCCAGACUCCUACGGGAGGCAGCAGUGGGGAAUAUUGCACAAUGGGCGCAAGCCUGAUGCAGCCAUGCCGCGUGUAUGAAGAAGGCCUUCGGGUUGUAAAGUACUUUCAGCGGGGAGGAAGGCGUUGAGGUUAAUAACCUCAGCGAUUGACGUUACCCGCAGAAGAAGCACCGGCUAACUCCGUGCCAGCAGCCGCGGUAAUACGGAGGGUGCAAGCGUUAAUCGGAAUUACUGGGCGUAAAGCGCACGCAGGCGGUCUGUCAAGUCGGAUGUGAAAUCCCCGGGCUCAACCUGGGAACUGCAUUCGAAACUGGCAGGCUAGAGUCUUGUAGAGGGGGGUAGAAUUCCAGGUGUAGCGGUGAAAUGCGUAGAGAUCUGGAGGAAUACCGGUGGCGAAGGCGGCCCCCUGGACAAAGACUGACGCUCAGGUGCGAAAGCGUGGGGAGCAAACAGGAUUAGAUACCCUGGUAGUCCACGCCGUAAACGAUGUCGACUUGGAGGUUGUGCCCUUGAGGCGUGGCUUCCGGAGCUAACGCGUUAAGUCGACCGCCUGGGGAGUACGGCCGCAAGGUUAAAACUCAAAUGAAUUGACGGGGGCCCGCACAAGCGGUGGAGCAUGUGGUUUAAUUCGAUGCAACGCGAAGAACCUUACCUACUCUUGACAUCCAGAGAACUUACCAGAGAUGCUUUGGUGCCUUCGGGACUCUGAGACAGUGCUGCAUGGCUGUCGUCAGCUCGUGUGUGAAAUGUGGGUUAAGUCCCGCAACGAGCCGCAACCUUUAUCCUUUUGUUGCCAGCGGUUCGGCCGAGAACUCAAAGGAGACUGCCAGGUGAUUA
rnacentral:rRNA from 1 species